UGCAGUAUAGCAUAGUGGUAAGGCACAGGGCUAGUAACCAAAAGGUUGCUGGUUUGAUUCCCCGCUGGGGCAC